GUCCACUUCAGUUGACAAAAUUCGUUCCUUUGGAAUACCCUGCCACGUCAUCAAACACAGACGACGCUUGAGUCGCGCUGAUCACGGGGUUCAACCUCCGAAGGCAGCAUUUUCCUGGUUUCAGACGCAGCCGUGUCAGUACUCUGCUAGUUCGCAAUGACUGAUUGGAAUCUACCUUAAAAUGACUGAAUACCAUGUGAAGUUCACUUCGGAGGACCCUAAUGGUCGACUGGUACACACCUACAGUGUUUUCUAACAUAUCCUGAACAGGCUUGCUGAAUUAACGGCAAACACAAGGGGCAACAUUGUAGCAGUUUACCUGAUAUUUGCAUUAAAAAGCCACGUUUAUGUUUUAGCUCUCUAUCACUAAAAUAUGACAUCGACAUACAAUGAAAAAAUUAAUUAUUUUGUGGUGAAGUAAACAUAGCAUCAAAGAUUUAGUACUUUCUACACUGAAUAAGUCUGGUUAAGCAUGAACCUGAAAAUAUUAAUUAAAUUCUACAUUUGUACUCAAUUCAAACAUGUGAAAAUGAAUGCUCUAGUUUAUAAGUAAAUAGUAUUUAUGACUGCUUGUUAUUAUCUUUACAGUGUAUCAUCAUGUAUCAAUCCUAAAGUAGAAAACUUGGUCAUAUUUAUUCACUAAUUAGGGGCCAAGCACUGAAAGUUCUUAGGCACCUAUUGUAAUCGUUAGUGUUCUUUUUGUUAUUAGGGUCCAAGCACUGAAAGUGCGUAGGCACCUAUUGUAAUCGUUAGUGUUCUUUUUAUUCUUCUUCUUCUUCUGCCAUUGAGUCUAUGGCUUCCCAUAGAACCUUAUGUGGCAAAGUUGUGAAAUUUGGCACACAAAUAGAGGACAGUCUGAACAUUAACUGGAGCAAAUUUGGAGUCUCUAACUCAAACCCUCUAGCGCAUCCAACUGGCCAAAUUUUCACACGUUUAUGCUAAUAACUUUUGAACCGUAAGCGCUAGAAUCAAAAUUCCUUUUUCCUCUGAUUCCUUAACUCGAGACGAAUCGACUCCUAUGUCGUCAUUUUGCGUCUUGAAAAUUUUUCGAAAAACAUAUUUUUUCUAACUCCUCCUAGACCGUUUGUUCAAUUUGCACAAAAAUUUAAUCAGAUCAUCUUCAGACCAGGCUGAUAAAAAGUUUUGGAAUUCAAGUUGAUUAGUCAAACUGUUCUUGAAUAACCCGCGAACAAAUUCGACGUAGAGCACGCCAAAUUGGAUGUGAGGCUAUAUCUCCGCAACGCUUUUGCUUAUUCACACCAAACUUGGUGUGUGUUAUGACAACCAUGACCUGAGGGUACUUGCACAGUUUCGGCACAGCACUACCUAGUGGUCACGAGAUAUGAAAAAUGCAUAUUUUUGCUUAUAACUUCUGAACGGUUUCACCUGGUCUUGUUAGAUUCUGUGUGGGAUGCCGAGUCGAAUGAUACAAAAUUUUCCUAUGUCGGCCAUUUUGGGUGUCGCCCAUUUUGAAUUUUGUUGUAAAAUGCUUUAUUUUUCAAACACAUUGACAUAUCCUUAUGAAACUCGUUAUGUGUCAUUGGCACAAUGCCCUGAAGGUACUCAAAAUGUUUUGGGACAGCGCCACUUUCUGGUCAAAAGUUAUACCAAAUUUUCUUAAAAUGCUAAUAACUUUUGAUUACUUUGUGCUAUUGUCAUGAGAUUAGUCUUGGUAGAUUCCAUGGGUCAUGCCGAGAACGUGGAUACCAAUUAUGCCAUGAUCAAUCGAACUUCCUGUCCGCCAUUUUGAAAUAUUUUUAAAAACCUACUUUUUCUAACUCCUUGAGCGUUUGUCAGAUUUUAACCAAAAUCGAAUCAGACCAUCUUCAGACCAUGCCAACAAAAAGUUAUGGAUUUCAUGUUGAUAAACCAAACCAUUUUCGUUUAACACAACAGUGAAUUUGAUGGCACGGUGCCAGAAUGGUUUUCAGGCUCUAUCUCGGCAACGCUUUGGCAUAUUGACAUGAAACUUUGUAUGUGUCAUCAUGACAGCACCUUGACUACACCAUAUCAAUUUGGUGACAGUGCCACCUGUUAGUCAAUAAUAAGUAAUAUGCUUUUAUGUCCCAUUGCAAUUGAUAAUAUUCAUGGUUUUUCAAACAUUUUGCCUAAAAUCAUGACCAGAUUGCUUACUUAUUUUUUUUGCCAUUGUUGUGCCUAAUAAUGGUUGAUGUGCUUGGCCCCUUAAUUGCUGCUUUCAACUAUAUUUAGAGUUAGUUUCACUGAAGAAAAUAAGUACAUUUUACUCAAAAUUUCGAGGCUGGUAUUCCUAGCAUGCACAGGGCUUGAAUAAUUAAUGAGCUUGCAUUGUUUCACUGUUUUAUUGUUGAAUUUUUUAUGUUUGAUAACUUGUUUUGUGAAAUGUGCAGCUAAUUUUCAACUCAAAAUGACCUGUUCAUGAUUUAAAUAAAUAAAUACAAUUAUC